AUUGAACGCUGGCGGCAUGCCUUACACAUGCAAGUCGAACGGCAGCACGGAGCUUGCUCUGGUGGCGAGUGGCGAACGGGUGAGUAAUAUAUCGGAACGUACCCAAGAGUGGGGGAUAACGUAGCGAAAGUUACGCUAAUACCGCAUACGAUCUAAGGAUGAAAGCAGGGGAUCGCAAGACCUUGUGCUCCUGGAGCGGCCGAUAUCUGAUUAGCUAGUUGGUGAGGUAAAGGCUCACCAAGGCAACUGUCAGUAGCUGGUCUGAAGGGACGACCAGCCACACGGGAACUAGGACACGGUCCAGACUCCUACGGGAGGCAGCAGUGGGGAAUUUUGGAAAAUGGGGGCAACCCCGAUCCAGCAAUGCCGCGUGAGUGAAGAAGGCCUUCGGGUUGUAAAGCUCUUUUGUCAGGGAAGAAACGGUGAAGGCUAAUAUCCUUUGCUAAUGACGGUACCUGAAGAAUAAGCACCGGCUAACUACGUGCCAGCAGCCGCCGUAA
rnacentral:rRNA from 1 species